GGUGCGUUAGUUCAGCUGGUUAGAAUACGGGCCUGUCACGCCCGGGGUCACGGGUUCGAGUCCCGUACGCACCG
rnacentral:tRNA from 1 species